CCCUUAGAGUUUGAUCCUGGCUCAGGAUGAACGCUGGCGGCGUGCUUAACACAUGCAAGUCGAGCGAAGCGAUUUAAAUGAGACUUCGGUGGAUUUUAAAUUGACUGAGCGGCGGACGGGUGAGUAACGCGUGGAUAACCUGCCUCACACAGGGGGAUAACAGUUAGAAAUGACUGCUAAUACCGCAUAAGCGCACGGUACCGCAUGGUACAGUGUGAAAAACUCCGGUGGUGUGAGAUGGAUCCGCGUCUGAUUAGGUAGUUGGUGAGGUAACGGCCCACCAAGCCGACGAUCAGUAGCCGACCUGAGAGGGUGACCGGCCACAUUGGGACUGAGACACGGCCCAAACUCCUACGGGAGGCAGCAGUGGGGAAUAUUGCACAAUGGGCGAAAGCCUGAUGCAGCAACGCCGCGUGAGUGAAGAAGUAUCUCGGUAUGUAAAGCUCUAUCAGCAGGGAAGAAAAUG
rnacentral:rRNA from 1 species